GGUAAGUAAUAAAAGACAGAAUUUUCAUUUUUUUGGGUGAACUAACCCUUUAAUGAAACAUGAAAACUGCUGCUGAUGAAUAGAAUGAACAUCAUACCUGCAUGCAAAUCCUUCCCAGCUAACACAAGACUGACCAGUUAUGUGAUUUAUUAGUACUUUACUUUUUUCAUGACUUACUAAUUGACAACGUAACUACGUAACUACGACAUUGCAUGCUUGUAGUUUCUCUUGCGCUUUAUAUAUGAUUAUAAUUUGAUUAUCAUUUGCACGUGCAAUUGAAGAAUGCGCGCUAUUGAGCGCAGUAUAAUGGCUGACAGGACAGGAAAGUUCGGUUUUCUGAGGUACUCCGCGACCCACUCAGAACGGUCCACUUUUGGGUCUAGUCUUUCAGCUGUUUAACAACUGCAAGUGCAAUACUGUACCAGAAGUGCAGCCUCCAUUCAGGAGUUUGAUGUAGAUGCUGGUAAUACUGCGUGCAAAGUGCCCUCUGGAUGAAAGCAUAUUAGUGAUGCUUACAAGCUACCAAAAGGAAGCCUGCAGGAAGAUUUCAUUGAAAUAAAAAGCCCUGGAGGUUGCAAAGACAAGUUUAGAAAUGACAAGUGGCAUACAGCAAAUCUUCAAGGCUCCCUGUGAACCAUGAGACAGCCAUACUGUUUCCAGUCUCUGUGUGUCCCCUGCAUGAAAGGAAACAGGGUCAGGAACAAUGCCAGAAACAGCGGCAGUCAAAGACUGCUCAACUAUGACAGAAACAAGUGGAUACUACAAGAACCACACAUGUGCUCUUCUCCAAAACCUAGUAAGCAUUAUUUGUGAUAAUGAAGGAAAAAGUAGCUUCCUAGUUUGGGCAAUAUUGCAUGUAUCCUUCAGGGUUAAGCAUACAUUGUGACGAGCAGGAAAAAAUGAAUAAAUAAAAUGUAGGCAGCAAGGUAGCUCACUAGUUUGAGAACAGAUCCAGUGUCUACUGUUCAGUGAAGGUUUUCUUAUGCCUGCAGUUUGCACUGACAUUUCAUAACCUCUCAAUUCUCAGCAUAUUGAGCUUUUUUUACAGUAAGAGGGGAA